rnacentral:misc_RNA from 1 species
ACUUCAAAAAUUAUAAAAAUAUUCCUGGAGGUCCUCUACAUCAUCUUUAUAUUAAUGAAAAUUAUUUUACUUAAUUUUAUCAAAUCAAAAAUAUUUUACAGAUUUUUCAGCCUACUCAGUCAAAGGAAAAAUUACAUAACUUAAGUUCUGGACUACUUUUGUAAAUUUUGCUACCUAUAACGCGUUUAGAACGUCUGAAAAUGCUGAAAUUGACUGUAAACACAACCCAUUUUCGAGACAGCCUACCGAAUACCCAGACCAGAUCGAAAACUCGACUUUGAGUACUAGUGAGCUAUCGCUGACUCAAUCGUACUUAAAUGAAGUCCAUAAAUUGUUAAAAAUUAUCACAUAAUUAUUUUUAAUUUAUAUAAAAUCAAAAAGACUCAAAAAUCUCACCGAGCGAUUUGGACCGUUCAAGUCCGAUUGGAGCGGGAUUUGGCCCAUCUUGAAGACUUCGUCGCCUUGAGUUUAUUGGUGGCCUCGGAUCUCUGAUACAUCGGUCAGAUCGUCCAGAAUCCUCGAUGAAAGCUGCUGAACCCAUUUCUCUUUUCUCCUUCGUUUCUCACCAUGUGUUUCCAUUAAAUCCGACAUUACCAGUCGGAAAUUGUUCUUGAGGAAGCUGUGGCAUGGCUGUUCAAGGGAAAAUUACCAGAAAUAGAAGAGAAAAGUUCGGCCAUUUCAUUUUUCUCUCACAUCUCGUAACCUUGGAUCCACCAGAAUAUUGCCAUCUUCAACACCUGAGAAACACCGCUAGAGCUUGCUGGAGGUCCUGGUUGCAUCGCUGGCAAUGCUAGCUUGGUUGGAAAGAAAGAAAAAAAUUGAAGGGAAGGGGUAGGUUGGUUGUCGGAGACGCGGGAGAAGUGGUCUCCCUACUUGCUUCCAAAACGCUGCUUAGUCUGCACUUUCAUUUCAACCUCUUUUUUUU